CAGCAGCCGCGGUAAUACGUAGGGGGCGAGCGUUGUCCGGAAUGAUUGGGCGUAAAGGGCGCGUAGGCGGCUGUGUAAGUCAGUAGUGGAAGUCCAGCUUUUAAGGUUGGAAGUGCUAUUGAAACUGUGCAGCUUGAGUGCAGGAGAGGUUAUCGGAAUUCCCGGUGUAGCGGUGAAAUGCGUAGAGAUCGGGAGGAACACCAGUGGCGAAGGCGGGUAACUGGACUGCAACUGACGCUGAGGCGCGAAAGUGUGGGGAGCAAACAGGAUUAGAUACCCUGGUAGUCCACACUGUAAACGAUGAAUGCUAGGUGUAGGGGGUAUCGACCCCUUCUGUGCCGGAGUAAACACAAUAAGCAUUCCGCCUGGGGAGUACGGUCGCAAGAUUAAAACUCAAAGGAAUUGACGGGGGCCCGCACAAGCAGCGGAGCAUGUGGUUUAAUUCGAAGCAACGCGAAGAACCUUACCAGGUCUUGACAUCCAGGUAAAGCUGCAGAGAUGCAGUGUGUGCUUGCACAAUCUGAGACAGGUGGUGCAUGGCC
rnacentral:rRNA from 1 species